rnacentral:lncRNA from 1 species
GGGCUCAGGCAGUUUGAACACUGGUGAAAUGACAUUCACCUCAGGCUCAACUUCAUCAACAUUGAGAUUUUGCAGAAUCUCAAUGGUACCCUCAUUCAACAACUUCUGAAGCUCUUUGCGGACUUGAUCGCAACCCCAGCGAUUAACCGAACAGACGCGGCACUUGUCAUGGUUAUGCUCCAAGUAGCUGUACUGACACAGCGUACGGUG